rnacentral:rRNA from 1 species
CCUACGGGAGGCAGCAGUAGGGAAUCUUCCACAAUGGGCGAAAGCCUGAUGGAGCAACGCCGCGUGGGUGAAGAAGGUCUUCGGAUCGUAAAACCCUGUUGUUAGAGAAGAAAGUGCGUGAGAGUAACUGUUCACGUUUCGACGGUAUCUAACCAGAAAGCCACGGCUAACUACGUGCCCGCAGCCGCGGUAAUACGUAGGUGGCAAGCGUUAUCCGGAUUUAUUGGGCGUAAAGGGAACGCAGGCGGGCUUUUAAGUCUGAUGUGAAAGCCUUCGGGUUAACCGGAGUAGUGCAUUGGAAACUGGGAGAGUUGAGUGCGGAAGAGGGGAGGGGAAAUCCAUGUGUAGCGGUG